GAAUGUGAGGAUGAUCUGGCUGCGACAUCUGUCACCCCAUUGAUCACCAGGGUUGAUUCAGCUGAUCUGGCUGGCUAUGUGGGUGUCCCCUUCCUCCCUCACUGCUCCAUGUUCGUCCCUCCCCAAGCUGCGCGCUCGGUCGAAGAGGAUGGGCUGCCCCGAAUAGAGACGGACCGGUCUUCGGUCGAGGGUAUAGAGGGUAUCAGAAUAGCUGCGCUCCCCUGGUAGAACCUCCAAACAAGCUCUCAAAUAAAUAAGAUGUAGCGCAUGCUCAGUAAAGAAGUUUUAACUGCUAUUAUAGUUUAAUUUACAGCAACAACGCAGAGGUGAGUCUGAACACAUCAGCUGUGUUGCAUCCAAU
ensembl:misc_RNA 7SK 7SK RNA